rnacentral:rRNA from 1 species
UAUUGCACAAUGGGGGGAACCCUGAUGCAGCGACGCCGCGUGGGUGAAGGAGCGUUUCGGCGCGUAAAGCCCUAUCGGCAGGGAAGAAGGAGGACGGUACCUGACUAAGAAGCCCCGGCUAACUACGUGCCAGCAGCCGCGGUAAUACGUAGGGGGCAAGCGUUAUCCGGAUUUACUGGGUGUAAAGGGGGCGCAGACGGCAGCGCAAGCCAGGAGUGAAAGCCCGGGGCCCAACCGCGGGACUGCAUUGGGAACUACCGGGCUGGAGUGCCGGAGAGGUAGGCGGAAUUCCUAGUGUAGCGGUGAAAUGCGUAGAUAUUAGGAGGAACACCAGUGGCGAAGGCGGCCUACUGGAGGGUGACUGACGCUGAGGCUCGAAAGCGUGGGGAGCAAACAGG